rnacentral:rRNA from 1 species
GGACCAAGGAGUCUAACAUAUAUGCGAGUAUUUGGGCCUGGAAACCCUUAUGCGCAAUGAAAGUGAAGGUUGUCUUCGGACUUCUGAGGUAGGAACCUGUGUCCUCGGACAUAGGGGCACUAUCGACCGAUCGUCACUUGUUGAAGAUUUGAGUAUGAGCAUAUCUGUUGGGACCCGAAAGAUGGUGAUCUAUGCCUGAACAGGGCGAAGCCAGGGGAAACUCUGGUGGAGGCUCGUAGCGAUACUGACGUGCAAAUCGUUCGUCUGAUUUGGGUAUAGGGGCGAAAGACUAAUCGAACCAUCUAGUAGCUGGUUCCCUCCGAAGUUUCCCUUAGGAUAGCUGGAACUUAUACAGUUUUAUCAGGUAAAGCUAAUGAUUAGUGGUCCUAGAGUUGAAACAACUUUAACCAAUUCUCAAACUUUAAAUAGGUAAGAAGCCUUGGGUUACUUAAUUGAACCCGGGCCUCGAAUGGAAGUUCUUAGUGGGCCAUUUUUGGUAAGCAGAACUGGCGAUGCGGGAUGAACCGGACGCUGACUUAAAGUGCCUAACUGUUCGCUCAUCAGAUCCCACAAAAGGUGUUGGUUCAUUUAGACAGCAGGACGGUGGUCA